CCCUGUAUUCAGGUGUUUUGCAUCUGAAUACAUUAAUUGUGCAACGCCAAGUUCCUCCCUACAGUUGGUAAUUGCGCGUUGCCGUGACGGAGGAUUUCGACAAUCGAAGUACGUGUACGUUCUUCGUUUUCAAAUGGCUUUCGGAACACAACCUAAUCUCAGUUUGGUAAGUUACAACACUUUACUUUCUAAGUAUUUCUUAUAUAUACACAACGACAACGAAACAUUGGCGUCUUUUCUACCAAAUCGAAAAUUAUUAGUAUUCUUGUGCCAUAUAUUCGCGGCCUCAGUCUGAAAAUAAAAUGUCGAUUUUAGCUUAUUUAGGCCGCAGAAUGCUGAAGUCCUUCGUCAAGAGAUGAAAGGAAAACGUAUCUAAUAUAGACUGGAAACUCUUCUGAUAAAAUCGAAGAGGGUUUACGCAAAGUGUUGGGAAUGGCAUUCAUUUUUCGGCGGCAGAGAAACAGCCGACCUAUACACAAACAUGAUAUAAAUCUGCUCUCUCCAACAGUCUAUUCAAGUUAAGACGUAAUCAGCAACUCUCAAUGCUGCGUGGAACCCGUUCUAAAUCUAAAUUAAUACAAUUUGGGGUGUAUAUAUUUUGGUUACAAAAUGGAUGAAGCGAAGAGCGAGACGAUAAGAGUUGAUUAUUUAUUAACGACUGCAGUUCUUGUUCCAUACGUUUGUCACACAAAGCAUUUCUUAAAAUUUAGAAUUUGAAACGUGUGAUAACCUUUCCUAAUGUUUCAACCCUAAAAUUUACUCUUUGUCACACAGACACAGUAGUAUAAAAUAUAUACAUACCGUGUAGUUGGAACAAGUAAUAGAAUUUAUUUCGUUAACGAUCUGUUUUUCAAACUAUAGUACUACCGGUACAUGGGCAUGGCGGUAUCUUACUAAGUAACACAAAUAUGAAAUAAUUAAAGGAUUCGACAUAUUCUAGACAUAUUUAUCGUUUGAUGUUGUAUAUUCAAAGUGUACUGUAGGACUAAACUAUUUUAUUGUGAGGUCGACAACUGCGCGAUAAUUCAUUUAUAAUACAGGCAGUAAUAUGUCAUAUGAUGUUAAAAGACUGACCUUGCAUGCCCGCCAUUUCCGUCAAAAAGUGUGACUCAGCUUAAUUUUCAUUUCAUAUGUGAUAUGCAUGGUGUAAGAUUUGAAGCCAUCUGAAAGUAAAUAAUUUAUUAUAUCAUUAGUAAAUACGAUUUCUGACAUCAAUUCCAAGCUCUUUCCACGUUUCACUUGUUCAUUGUAAAUUGAGAUAUAAAAAUGAGAACAUCUGAACAUGCAUAUAGCUAGUAUAUGUAGAUCGAAGGAUGAAGACAAGCUUAUAGAAUAUAGAAUUGUAUUAUUCCAAUACAAAACGGGGGAGCUCAAAUAGAAACUUCCAAAGCUCAAAGAGAUGUAUGAUCAUUUCUAUCAUUCUGGUUGUCUACAUAUAAUUGACAAAGUUAUAUAUAAUUAUAUAGUAUGGAAUUUACUGUGCUUAAAGCGUUCAGUUCUGCAGAAAAAGUUAUAUAUCUUGUUUUCAGGUUGUCUUGUUUCGUUUUCUUUAUCUAAUAUCUGAAAGGCUAUAUGCAGUUGUGAGGGAUUCUGUAUAUUGUUAAUAAAAGUAUUAACGCAAAGAUCAUGUCUUCUGUUAUGCAAAGUUUUUAAUCUUUUGGCAGGCCUUGCAGCUAGUGCAGCAUCAUAUACUUCCUCAUCAUUGCUCUUGUGUUAAUCCACCAUGCCACACUUCAGCCCCGCGUAUAUUCGAGUACAGAACGUAUUACCACCGCACGGUAACAUCUAUGAUACAAGUUGAUCUUUUGGGGCACCAUAAUGUUUAAAGAGUUUUAAAAAAUACAAUUAUCGUUUAGCAGCUUUCUUAGUAAUGCAAUCCGUAUUUGCCGAGUUUACCACCAAACAAAAAAAGUUAAAAAACAAAAGUUACAGUUAUUAUAAAGUCAAAGUUAGUUAAAGUUAAAGUUAGUUAAAGUUAGUUAAAGUUAGUUAAAGUUAAAGUUAUUAUGUACUAUUCAGGGCCGUAGCAACCGGGGGG